rnacentral:tRNA from 4 species
GGGCUCGUGGUCUAGGGGUCAUGACGUUGCCUUGACAUGGCAAAGAUCGCCAGUUCAAUUCUGGCCGAGCCCACCA